rnacentral:rRNA from 1 species
UACAGAGGGUGCAAGCGUUAAUCGGAAUUACUGGGCGUAAAGCGUGCGUAGACGGUUAUGUAAGUCGGAUGUGAAAGCCCCGGGCUCAACCUGGGAAUUGCAUUCGAAACUGCAUGGCUAGGGUGCGGAAGAGGGAAGCGGAAUUUCUGGUGUAGCGGUGAAAUGCGUAGAUAUCUGGAGGAACACCGGUGGCGAAGGCGGCAUCCUGGACCAACACUGACGCUGAGGAGCGAAAGCCAGGGGAGCAAACGGG